rnacentral:rRNA from 1 species
GAUGAACGCUGGGGGCGUGCUUAACACAUGCAAGUCGAACGAAGCUACCCAAAGGAAGUUUUCGGAUGGAAUUUAGGCAGACUUAGUGGCGGACGGGUGAGUAACGCGUGGAUAACCUGCCUUAUACAGGGGGAUAACGGAGAGAAAUUUCCGCUAACACCGCAUAAGACCACAGCACCGCAUGGUGCAGGGGUAAAAUAUUUAUAGGUAUAAGAUGGAUCCGCGUCCGAUUAGCUAGUUGGUGAGGUAAAGGCCCACCAAGGCGACGAUCGGUAGCCGGCCUGAGAGGGUGAACGGCCACAUUGGGACUGAGACACGGCCCAAACUCCUACGGGAGGCAGCAGUGGGGAAUAUUGGACAAUGGGGGAAACCCUGAUCCAGCGACGCCGCGUGAGUGAAGAAGUAUUUCGGUAUGUAAAGCUCUAUCAGCAGGGAAGAAAAUGACGGUACCUGACUAAGAAGCCCCGGCUAACUACGUGCCAGCAGCCGCGGUAAUACGUAGGGGGCAAGCGUUAUCCGGAUUUACUGGGUGUAAAGGGAGCGCAGACGGCAAUGCAAGUCUGAAGUGAAAGGCGUGGGCUCAACCCAUGAACUGCUUUGGAAACUGUAUAGCUUGAGUGUCGGAGGGGUAAGCGGAAUUCCUAGUGUAGCGGUGAAAUGCGUAGAUAUUAGGAGGAACACCGGAGGCGAAGGCGGCUUACUGGACGACAACUGACGUUGAGGCUCGAAGGCGUGGGGAGCAAACAGG